CUUUUCUACUUUCACAAAUUAUUCUUGUUUGCUAGAUACUGAGCUCAUUUUCUUCAUUUCCAAAGGAGUUUAAGAGCUGUUAACAUCUAAAUGUUAUUACCCUGGGACAGAACCCUUUUCUACUUGUCAUAGUUAUGGGUCUGAAAAUUUGUCCUACAAUAAAGGAAGAAUAAAGCAAAUUGUGGUCCGUUAACACCAUGGAAUACUGCAACAGCUCCAGUUCUAUGAUCUUGACUGAGGAAUCUACAUGUCUACAAGGGAAACAGUGGAAACAGGACAUACACUUACUUUUGGAGGCCACAUUUUAGGAAGGACAUGGAUAAGUCAGAGAGUAUAUAAAGGACAUCAAUCAUGA